GGAGGGCACAGACCCGCGUAUCUGCGGCUCGUUCGGCCGCCCUUGGGCUCCCUCAUCGCUCCCCAGCGCGGAGAGCCCCGGGGAGAGAGCCCGAGCAGGGUUCCGGCUGAAUAUGGCCGCCGUGGUGGUGCCAGGCGGCCGCUUGUGCCACUCAGCGCCCUCAGGAACAGCCCGGCAGUGAUGAGGGGUCGGUGCCCCCUCAGAGCCACGGGAAGGGGUUCAGGUGGAGCGGGCCAAGUGUAACCCACGAAGGAAUUACUUGGCAAAGCUGAUGGUGCACAGGGGACCAGACUCCAAGAUGAAAAGCAAGCCUUGCUGAAAUGUGAAAGCACAGAUUGCACCCUGGAUGAAUGUGGGCAGGAGCUGGAUGAAUAAAGAGGGCUUCACUCAGAGCAACAGUUCACCUAAAUCCACUUAAAAUACUUACUGUAAUAGGAAAAAAACCCACCUUUGUCAUGCAGAGAAAGACAAGACAUCUAAGAAAAAGCAUUUGAAAAACUCCCCACCACAAAGCUCAUCCUGGUAUUGGACUUCUGAAACAGGUUCCAAAGAGCAACUCCAAGUGUGUAGGAUAAGAUCAGGACAUCAAUACACAAUGCUUGUUCUCCAUCCGAGAGAUUUAAUUUAUCCUGUCAACAUGAGCUAAUUAAUAAUUAAAAAGGGCACUGUGGUCCUUAUGUGGGAGGUCCUAUGAAAUGAAAAUUCAAGCAAUUUGAGAGGCAGUAGAUUCCUGUUUAUUCAAAAACAUGCUCAGGGAUUUACUCUAUGACUGUUUCAAUUACUCUUUCAGCAGCAAGAUUCUGAUGUGCAUUUCAGCAUUAUGGAAGCUGUGGGUGCCCCAUCCCUGGGAGUGUCCAAGGCCAGGCUGGAGCAGCCUGGGAUGGUGGAAGGUCCCUGCCCAUGGCAGGGGGUGGAAUGAGAUGAUCUUUGAGGUCCCUUCCAAACCAUUCUGUGAUUCCUGUUGGUGAUUUCUGCCUCUGCAUCUUCUCUUGACUCCUCACAAGGGAAACCUCAGGUGGUUCUUCUCACUUCAGUUUUCUUUUUAAUCCAACUGUGCUGUCUUGAACUUCAUCUUUCCAGGGCUAACACGAGGUUUGCCCUAUGACAGAUCACUUUACAAGUCCAAGUGGACAGGCAUUUAGAAUUAGAGUCCAAACAAAGUCAA